GCUUGUUUAAGAAACACAUAAUAAAAUUGGAACAAUAUAGAAAAGGUUAGCAUGGUCCAUGUGCAAGGAUGAUAUUCAGGUUUGUGAGAAGAUCCAUACAAAU